rnacentral:rRNA from 1 species
GACAGAGGGUGCAAACGUUGUUCGGAAUCAUUGGGCGUAAAGGGCGCGUAGGCGGCGCGGUUGGUCAGGCGUGAAAUCCCCGGGCUCAACCCAGGGACUGCGCUUGAUACGGCCGGGCUGGAGGAUGGAAGAGGGCCGCGGAAUUCCCAGUGUAGAGGUGAAAUUCGUAGAUAUUGGGAAGAACACCGGUGGCGAAGGCGGCGGCCUGGUCCAUUUCUGACGCUGAGGCGCGACAGCGUGGGGAGCAAACAGG